CCGACUGCGCCACCCAGGCGCCCCUUUGUGUGUGGGUGUGUUCUGAAGGGCUUGUAUACAAGUUCGUAACUGCAAAUGCCAAACCUUGUUUGUCUUUCUGCAAAACCAGCGAGCAAUCCACACACCUGAUGGGUGCGCGAGCCUCCCCGUGUUUUCCUCCUAACAUCACAGCUAAGCAGAAAUGCUCAAGCCAGAGAAAGCUUCACCUGCCAAACCUCGACAGGGGCCGGAAAGCAAGCCUUUCCUCUUGAAUACAGGUUUCACUCAAGGUUGGGUAACCGAAAUAGAGACACACAGCACUGCUCCCGACUUGCAAAUCUAACCACCAGACCACGUUGCAAAUACUGAGUUGCCAGAUAAAACGCAGGAUGCCCAGUCAACUUGGGACGUCCUAUUAUCUUCAGUACAAAGAAGGUAGGGAAGCUGAACAACGGGCUCCAUCUGUUUCUCUGCGAGGCCCCACUCACUCAUGCGCCAUGUUUCACCUGGUAUCCGAGUAAACCGAGAAAGCUAUGUUCCCACCCCAAGGGGGGAGGGGGGAGAACUUCAUCGUUCUCUGUGUUUCGUCCUAGGCCCCCGACACCUGAUAACGUAAGAGACCGCCCCCAAGCCUGUUUCCAGCUCUGUGUCUGUCAAACUCGGCUGACACUGGCAUCAAUACCCCGCCCCCCCCCCCCCGGCUUCAGUGAUUUAUAACACCUGCUGUUCACCUGCCACUUGCUUUCAAUUGGACCCCACCCUGGAUUCCUGAAAGAACAUUUACCCUGGACCCCUUUCCAGUAUAAACCCCCAACCCCAAGUGGUGGGGGGACUCCCUUCCAUCUGAGUCUCCCAGACGCUCUGCCCACUAUACUCACACCACUUGGCGUUAUUCGGUAGAUUCUGCCCUCACUGCCUCCUGGCUGGCAUCUGAUUUCCAUCCCGCAUGCAGCCACGGACCCUCUUGGCUGGUUCUGUGGGGUCCCCUCUGGGUCCUGGGACCUGGCCCACCUACAUCACGAGUACAUCCCAAACAUUGCAUGGGACGUAGUUCUAGUAAGAAAGUAUUUACUGUUGAUCUGAAGUUCAAAUUUAACUGAGCAUCCUGUACUUUUAUUUACUAAAUCUGGCAACCCCGUUGCACAUAAGCAACAUUCCGUAAACAUUUCUAAAAGAAAGAUUCCUUAAAUACAGCAAUACAACUUUUUCCUCCUACAGAAGUAUGCAUAGAACUUUGGACUAUCAAUAUACUGUGUCGACGCUAUGCGUCUUUGUACACUUUCCUUGACGUGUUACAAUGAGAAACAGAAACAGGAAGCAAGACCACAGA